CGGGGUGUAGCUCAGCCUGGUAGAGCACUGCCUUCGGGAGGCAGGGGUCAGAGGUUCGAAUCCUCUCAUCCCGACCA
rnacentral:tRNA from 1 species